rnacentral:rRNA from 1 species
AAAUGCGGAAGAGAUAAGUGCUGAAAGCAUCUAAGCACGAAACUUGCCCCGAGAUGAGUUCUCCCUGACCCUUUAAGGUCCUGAAGGAACGUUGAAGACGACGACGUUGAUAGGCCGGGUGUGUAAGCGCAGCGAUGCGUUGAGCUAACCGGUACUAAUGAACCGUGAGGCUUAACCUU